rnacentral:rRNA from 1 species
GUGCCAGCAGCCGCGGUAAGACGUAGGGGGCGAGCGUUGUCCGGAAUUACUGGGCGUAAAGAGCACGUAGGCGGGUAAGAAAGUCAGAUGUGAAAGACCGUGGCUUAACUACGGGGUUGCAUCUGAAACUGCUAAUCUUGAGGGCAGGAGAGGUCAGUGGAAUUCCUGGUGUAGCGGUGAAAUGCGUAGAAAUCAGGAGGAACACCGGUGGCGAAGGCGACUGACUGGACUGACCCUGACGCUGAGGUGCGAAAGCGUGGGUAGCAAACAGGAUUAGAUACCCUGGUAGUCCACGCUGUAAACGAUGGAUACUAGGUGUGGGAGGUAUCGACCCCUUCCGUGCCGGAGCAAACGCAAUAAGUAUCCCGCCUGGGGAGUACGGUCGCAAGGCUGAAACUCAAAUAAAUUGACGG